UACAGAGGGUGCAAGCGUUACUCGGAAUUACUGGGCGUAAAGCGUGCGUAGCCGGUUAUGUAAGUCGGGUGUGAAAGCCCCGGGCUCAACCUGGGAAUGCCAUUCGAGACUGCAUAGCUAGGGUGCGGAAGAGGGAAGCGGAAUUUCCGGUGUAGCGGUGAAAUGCGUAGAUAUCGGAAGGAACACCAGUGGCGAAAGCGGCUUCCUGGUCCAGCACCGACGUUCAGGCACGAAAGCGUGGGGAGCAAACAGG
rnacentral:rRNA from 1 species